CCCUUUGCAAGCUAGAUCUAAUUUACCCACACCUACACGAAGUCGUUUUGCGGUGUGAGUUCGACGCAAACUUAAGGACGUGGUUGUGUGUGAACAGGGUCGACCGCGGUGAUGACGUGGAGAGGGCUUGACCGAGGAGGGAUCACUAGUCGAGUUAGUGAGGAUAGAGGGAAGGGUCGUUUGGUACGAGUAGCGUUGGGAUUUAUGUUAUUGCUAGGUGU